GAAUAAUAUGUGUGCCUCCUGAGCCGUAUAUUCGUGUGCUUGUCGAAUAAUCCGUGUGCCGGCUGAAUAUGUGUGCCUUCGCUGGAGCGUACUACGUUGUUCCGCGCUCCGCCCGUGAGGAGUGACGUGGCACCGCGUAUUCUACCGCAGUGCAUUCGUCGCUACGUUCGUGCCUGUUAUGUGCGCUGCAACCUCGCCUUUGAAAAGACGACAACCAUGCUUUCUAAUUACAAGUUUAAUGUUUGCUUAAGACGAUGGACAUAUUGCAAAUGGCGGCAGGAGUGGAUCGGCUACAUCGGUGAAGCGACGAUUUAUAUUACAAGAGAGGCUAAUUGUAUUCUUUCGUUACAGGUGAACGUGGAACUGUAUCGACUGCAAGGACGUAGUGUCCUGUCUCAACGGUCACGCAUAUGCGUGCAAAACUGCAACUGCUUCUCACAUCGAAGAGGGGUCUGGUGCCACAUGCUCGGACAAUUAUUCGUCGGCCAUUUCGUUUGGGGAACUGUCGUGUUCGUCACUAAGGAUGGCCUUGGUUGAGCUGCCAGCCUGGU